AUACAUAUCUCUCAAGAUAUAUAUAUGUAAUGUAUAUACACUGCAUAUAUAGGUAUGUAGUAUACGCAUGUAUAUAUGUAUGUGUGUAUAAUGUAUAUGUAUACACAUAUAUACACAUAUAUGUGUAUAUAUAUGUAUGUGUUUAUAUAUACACACACACAUACAUUGAAUUAGUUUAUUCCUUUUUACUACCUGGUCCUCUGCUUAAUUAUAGUUUCUGAAAAAUAGCAUCAGUAAUAUUAUUAAAUUCACCAGUUCAUUGGCUAAGUCAAAUAAUACAAGCUAUUUGAAGAAAAAAUUGUAUUUAAAAUGUGUAUUGUUAGUGUGGAUCAGAGGAUCAGACAGUUUUCUUCUCAGUAGAUUUCCCUAAAUACAGAGCUUUAGGAGAAGAUGCAACUUGACUCAAAGUCAUAAUUAGGGUCAAAUCUAGAAUGAACUCUUACAACAUGACAGUUUCUAAGUGUUUAAGAUAUGACUUCUUUUCCUGUUGUGGCUCAAGGAAAAGGAAUCUGACCAGUAUCCAUGAGGACAUAGAUUCAAAUCUGGCCUUGCUCCAUGGGUUAAGUAUCCAGUGUUGCGUUGCCGUGAAUUGUGAUGUAGGUUGCAGAUGCUGCUUAGAUCCCCUGUUGCUGCGGCUGUGGCUUAGGCUGGCAGCUAUGGAUUUAAUUUGACCCCUACCCUGGGAACCUCCACAAGCUGGGGGUGUGGCCCUAAAAAUACAAAAAAAAAAAAAAAAAAAAAAAAAAGAAAGAAAAAAAAGAAAGAAAAAAGAUAUGGCUUAUUUUAAAUAUGAUCCAGACAUAGAAGAUGUUUUGAAUAGAUGUUUUCCUAAAAUUCUAAAAUUCUGUGCUCAGGAGGUAUCAGGUGCAAGUCUUGUUUCAGUACUUUGGCUUGAGCACCAGCCUUUUCAUGAGUUUGUGACAUCAUACAAAGUUCUGAGUAUGUAUCCUUGCCUAGGUUGGCAGGUACAAAGAAUAUAAUAGUCAUACACUGAUAAAGCCAGAAAAGAUAGACCCAUUUCAUAAAUAAUAGGACAAUUAUUCAAACAAACAAACAUGAAGAAACAGGAGAGUAAGUGAUUUGGUUAAGCACAUGAUGUAAAUUAGUAACUGUGCUAAUUAAUUAAAUAAUGAAAUUCUUGGCAAAGAACAGUGUUCUACCCAGUAAGUCAGAUGAGAUUGUUAAACUACACAUGCAGAAAUGUACACUGCCUUUCUUAAUUUGGUUUAUUUUUCUACACCUUGAUCGCAAUUCAAGGAAUAACAGAGAACAAGGACUGACCACUCUCAGGAGAGGAUCUUGUCUUUGGAGGAUAUGCUUUUGCUAUUCUUUAGCGUAUUUCAGGUUAUUUCCUUAUUCAUGAAUUAUCAGGCAUUAAAAAAAUAAACUCAAUUACUUAAUGGAGAGUUCAGUUGCAUCCAAUCUACCCACCACUCCUUAACAAGCAAAUGGAGUAGCGACAGUAUCUGAAGUGGUUAGUAUCUCAGAAGAUUCUUGGCCUCGGGCCAGGCCAUUUUCACUUAAAAUACAACCAUAAUCAUGCACAUGUUAAAACUCAUUUACUAUGAAACUGAUAUCAGUUUUGAAAUGGGUUAAUACUUGUUUAAGGCGGCGAAAUAUCUCAUAGGCCUUUCUCUACCACCCUCUCUGCCUUCCUCUGCUUAUCUUUAAAUGCUCAAUGUUUGAAAUACACUGAAAGAACAUUUUAUGACAUAGCUUUAAAAUAUACUUUACAGCUAACUUACAAUUAGAAAAAUCUUUGUAUUCUUUCAAAAAAAAAAAAAAAAAAAAAA
rnacentral:lncRNA from 1 species